rnacentral:rRNA from 1 species
AGCGAACGCUGGCGGCAGGCCUAACACAUGCAAGUCGAACGAACCGUUUACGGUGAGUGGCGCACGGGUGAGUAACACGUGGGAAUAUACAUUUCGGUAAGGAAUAACGUAGAGAAAUUUACGCUAAUACCUUAUAAUGACUACGGUCCAAAGAUUUAUCGCCGAAGGAUUAGCCCGCGUUAGAUUAGGUAGUUGGUGGGGUAAUGGCCUACCAAGCCUACGAUCUAUAGCUGGUCUUAGAGGAUGAUCAGCCACACUGGAACUGAGACACGGUCCAGACUCCUACGGGAGGCAGCAGUGAGGAAUAUUGCGCAAUGGGGGAAACCCUGACGCAGCCAUGCCGCGUGAGUGACGAAGGCCUUAGGGUUGUAAAGCUCUUUCAGAUGUAAAGAUAAUGACGGUAACAUCAGAAGAAGCUCCGGCUAAAUUCGUGUCAGCAGCCGCGGUAA